UUUUAUGGAGAGUUUGAUCCUGGCUCAGGAUGAACGCUGGCGGCGUGCCUAAUACAUGCAAGUCGAGCGAACGGACGAGAAGCUUGCUUCUCUGAUGUUAGCGGCGGACGGGUGAGUAACACGUGGAUAACCUACCUAUAAGACUGGGAUAACUUCGGGAAACCGGAGCUAAUACCGGAUAAUAUUUUGAACCGCAUGGUUCAAAAGUGAAAGACGGUCUUGCUGUCACUUAUAGAUGGAUCCGCGCUGCAUUAGCUAGUUGGUAAGGUAACGGCUUACCAAGGCAACGAUGCAUAGCCGACCUGAGAGGGUGAUCGGCCACACUGGAACUGAGACACGGUCCAGACUCCUACGGGAGGCAGCAGUAGGGAAUCUUCCGCAAUGGGCGAAAGCCUGACGGAGCAACGCCGCGUGAGUGAUGAAGGUCUUCGGAUCGUAAAACUCUGUUAUUAGGGAAGAACAUAUGUGUAAGUAACUGUGCACAUCUUGACGGUACCUAAUCAGAAAGCCACGGCUAACUACGUGCCAGCAGCCGCGGUAAUACGUAGGUGGCAAGCGUUAUCCGGAAUUAUUGGGCGUAAAGCGCGCGUAGGCGGUUUUUUAAGUCUGAUGUGAAAGCCCACGGCUCAACCGUGGAGGGUCAUUGGAAACUGGAAAACUUGAGUGCAGAAGAGGAAAGUGGAAUUCCAUGUGUAGCGGUGAAAUGCGCAGAGAUAUGGAGGAACACCAGUGGCGAAGGCGACUUUCUGGUCUGUAACUGACGCUGAUGUGCGAAAGCGUGGGGAUCAAACAGGAUUAGAUACCCUGGUAGUCCACGCCGUAAACGAUGAGUGCUAAGUGUUAGGGGGUUUCCGCCCCUUAGUGCUGCAGCUAACGCAUUAAGCACUCCGCCUGGGGAGUACGACCGCAAGGUUGAAACUCAAAGGAAUUGACGGGGACCCGCACAAGCGGUGGAGCAUGUGGUUUAAUUCGAAGCAACGCGAAGAACCUUACCAAAUCUUGACAUCCUUUGACAACUCUAGAGAUAGAGCCUUCCCCUUCGGGGGACAAAGUGACAGGUGGUGCAUGGUUGUCGUCAGCUCGUGUCGUGAGAUGUUGGGUUAAGUCCCGCAACGAGCGCAACCCUUAAGCUUAGUUGCCAUCAUUAAGUUGGGCACUCUAAGUUGACUGCCGGUGACAAACCGGAGGAAGGUGGGGAUGACGUCAAAUCAUCAUGCCCCUUAUGAUUUGGGCUACACACGUGCUACAAUGGACAAUACAAAGGGCAGCGAAACCGCGAGGUCAAGCAAAUCCCAUAAAGUUGUUCUCAGUUCGGAUUGUAGUCUGCAACUCGACUACAUGAAGCUGGAAUCGCUAGUAAUCGUAGAUCAGCAUGCUACGGUGAAUACGUUCCCGGGUCUUGUACACACCGCCCGUCACACCACGAGAGUUUGUAACACCCGAAGCCGGUGGAGUAACCUUUUAGGAGCUAGCCGUCGAAGGUGGGACAAAUGAUUGGGGUGAAGUCGUAACAAGGUAGCCGUAUCGGAAGGUGCGGCUGGAUCACCU
rnacentral:rRNA from 1 species